AUUGAACGCUGGCGGCAUGCUUUACACAUGCAAGUCGAACGGCAGCACGGGCUUCGGCCUGGUGGCGAGUGGCGAACGGGUGAGUAAUGCAUCGGAACGUGCCCAUUUGUGGGGGAUAACUACGCGAAAGCGUGGCUAAUACCGCAUACGCCCUGAGGGGGAAAGCGGGGGAUUCUUCGGAACCUCGCGCAAUUGGAGCGGCCGAUGUCAGAUUAGCUUGUUGGUGAGGUAAAGGCUCACCAAGGCGACGAUCUGUAGCGGGUCUGAGAGGAUGAUCCGCCACACUGGGACUGAGAUACGGCCCAGACUCCUACGGGAGGCAGCAGUUGGGAAUCUUAGGCAAUGGACGAAAGUCUGACCUAGCGACGCCGCGUGAGGGAAGAAGGCCUUCGGGUUGUAAACCUCUGUCAUGGGGAAGAAGGAAGUGACGGUACCCAAGAGGAAGCCCCUGCCUAACUACGUGCCAGCAGCCGCGGUAAGAGUCACGUCG
rnacentral:rRNA from 1 species